CAGGAAUUAAGGUACCCAUCAUACAGAGAUUUCCACUGGUUACAUUGCUGGCAUUACCAGCAUACACCAAGGGAAGCAUUUUAUUAAGUAAUGAAUCACCCGCGUAAAGUGAAACGCCGGAGAAAUUUUUACCAUUGCCAAGGCUUACAUAUGCUGGAAAAUCACGGUCAAUUGUUCCAGCACCGACUGUGGUGAUCCAAGGUGCUUGGUUGGCCAAACUGAAUUGAUUAGGUCCAGCAUUUCCAGCAGAGCAAGAAACCAAAAUACCCUUCUCCAUAGCAGCAAAAGCUCCAAUUGCAAUGCUAUCUUUGUAGUAAUCUGGUGUGCUUCCACCAAGUGAUAAUGAAAGCACAUCAACUUUAUCAUCAAUGGCUUUGUCCAUCCCUGCCAAUAUGUCAG
rnacentral:misc_RNA from 1 species